CCUCUGGCCACAUUUUGUUUCCUCUCCGUUCAAAACGUGCAGGUUCCCGCUCCGGGCUGCCAGGCCGGUCACUCCUGAGCCGCCCAAGGAGCAGGGACACAGCGGCGGCUCCCGGGAAGCUCCGGGCCGCAGCUCCUGCAGCGCUUCUCUUGACACGGGGCAAGUGGAAUCCAAGCACCAGCGCGCCCCAUGUGCUGGUUUAUAAUGUGACUAGAAGACCUGGACAGCAGUGGAAACAAAGGUGCUGGUGCUGAAACAAUGUAUAUGCGCAGCAAGAGCAGAUGCAGCACUGAGCUCCUCACUGCUGGUCACUGAGCUGAGCACAGCAGGAAAAAAGGCUCCGACAUAAUCCUAAACUGAUUAAAACAUAAUAUACUUACUCUCUA